rnacentral:rRNA from 1 species
GACGAACGCUGGCGGCGUGCUUAACACAUGCAAGUCGAACGGAAAGGCCCUGCUUUUGUGGGGUGCUCGAUUGGCGAACGGGUGAGUAACACGUGAGUAACCUGCCCUUGACUUUGGGAUAACUUCAGGAAACUGGGGCUAAUACCGGAUAGGAGCUCCUGCUGCAUGGUGGGGGUUGGAAAGUUUCGGCGGUUGGGGAUGGACUCGCGGCUUAUCAGCUUGUUGGUGAGGUAGUGGCUUACCAAGGCUUUGACGGGUAGCCGGCCUGAGAGGGUGACCGGCCACAUUGGGACUGAGAUACGGCCCAGUCUCCUACGGGAGGCAGCAGUGGGGAAUAUUGCACAAUGGGCGGAAGCGUGAUGCAACAGCGCCGCGUGCGGGAUGACGGCCUUCGAGUUGUAAACCGCUUUCGCCUGUGACGAGGCGUGAGUGACGGUAAUGGGUAAAGAAGCACCGGCUAACUACGUG